AUUGAACGCUGGCGGCAUGCUUUACACAUGCAAGUCGAACGGUAACAGGCGUUCUUGCGCUGAGGAGUGAGUGACGGGCGGGUGAUUAAUCCGUAGGUACCCGGCGGGGGGGGGGGACUAAGCGGGAGAUGGGCGGAUUCCUACCGCGUUCGGUGGAUGAAUGCGGGGGAGGGAGCAGCAGGCUUUGCCCUCUCGGGUUGGGCGAUGGCGGAUUAGCUAGUUGGUGGGGUAAAGGCCUACCAAGGCGACGAUCAGUAGCUGGUCUGAGAGGACGACCAGCCACACUGGGACUGAGACACGGCCCAGACUCCUACGGGAGGCAGCAGUGGGGAAUUUUGGACAAUGGGCGCAAGCCUGAUCCAGCAAUGCCGCGUGUGUGAAGAAGGCCUUCGGGUUGUAAACCGCUUUUGGCAGGAACGAAACCGUGUCCGCUAAUACGGGGGGCUAAUGACGGUACCUGAAGAAUAAGCACCGGCUAACUACGUG
rnacentral:rRNA from 1 species